rnacentral:rRNA from 1 species
GUGGGGAAUUUUGGACAAUGGGCGCAAGCCUGAUCCAGCAAUGCCGCGUGCAGGAAGAAGGCCUUCGGGUUGUAAACUGCUUUUGUACGGAACGAAACGGUCCGGGUUAAUACCCUGGGCUAAUGACGGUACCGUAAGAAUAAGCACCGGCUAACUACGUGCCAGCAGCCGCGGUAAUACGUAGGGUGCAAGCGUUAAUCGGAAUUACUGGGCGUAAAGCGUGCGCAGGCGGUUUUGUAAGACAGGCGUGAAAUCCCCGGGCUCAACCUGGGAAUUGCGCUUGUGACUGAAAGGCUGGAGUGCGGCAGAGGGGGAUGGAAUUCCGCGUGUAGCAGUGAAAUGCGUAGAUAUGCGGAGGAACACCGAUGGCGAAGGCAAUCCCCUGGGCCUGCACUGACGCUCAUGCACGAAAGCGUGGGGAGCAAACAGGAUUAGAAACCCUUGUAGUCC